AACGAACGCUGGCGGCAGGCUUAACACAUGCAAGUCGAACGCAUCCUUCGGGGUGAGUGGCAGACGGGUGAGUAACGCGUGGGAACGUGCCCUUCAGUUCGGGAUAACCCAGGGAAACUUGGGGUAAUACCGGAUACGUGCGAGAGCAGAAAGAUUUAUCGCUGAAGGAUCGGCCCGCGUCUGAUUAGCUAGUUGGUGGGGUAAUGGCCCACCAAGGCGACGACCAGUAGCUGGUCUGAGAGGAUGAUCAGCCACAUUGGGACUGAGACACGGCCCAAACUCCUACGGGAGGCAGCAGUGGGGAAUAUUGGACAAUGGGCGCAAGCCUGAUCCAGCCAUGCCGCGUGAGUGAUGAAGGCCUUAGGGUUGUAAAGCUCUUUCGUCCGGGACGAUAAUGACGGUACCGGAAGAAGAAGCCCCGGCUAACUUCGUGCCAGCAGCCGCGGUAA
rnacentral:rRNA from 1 species